UGGGAUGACAGCUGCCUGGAAGGGAGGAAGAGCUCCAGUGAGACCCCAGUCAAGCAUUGGCGACUGUGGGCUGAAGCGUUCCAGGGUGCCUGCAAGCGGCUAGGAAGUGGACUGGGAGUACAGGAGCUCCAUCACAAGCGUUAUUCAUUAGACUUCAGAAUAUCUGUAAAUAUCAUGUAUCCUUCCCAAAUAUUAAUAUCAUGUUAACUACAUUUCUGAACUGUUCAAAAC